rnacentral:rRNA from 1 species
AUUGAACGCUGGCGGCAGACCUAACACAUGCAAGUCGAACGAGUGGCGGACGGUUGAGUAAUGUCUGUGCAACUGCCUGAUGGAGGGGGCUAACUACUGGAAACGGUAGCUAAUACCGCAUACCUUCAGAUGUGCCCAGAUGGGAUUAGCUUGUUGGUGGGGUAACGGCUCACCAAGGCGACGAUCCCUAUCUGGUCUGAGAGGAUGACCAGCCACACUGGAACUGAGACACGGUCCAGACUCCUACGGGAGGCAGCAGUGGGGAAUAUUGGACAAUGGGCGAAAGCCUGAUGCAGCCAGGCCGCGUGUAGGAAGAAGGCCUUCGGGUUGGAAAGUACUUUCAGCGGGGAGGCGUUACCCGCAGAAGAAGCACCGGCUAACUCCGUGCCAGCAGCCGCGGUAAUAC